CCUCACUCUCUCUCUCUGUCCCUCACCUAGGGCUCUUGGUUUCUCUCCCAUACUCCCACUUUCCUUCAUUUUCACGCUAAUGCAUUCUCCUGGAUUCUCAGCACCCAAACACUCCAAUUUGCCGCAUCUCAAGACUCUCAGACAUAGAUCCCUCCUGGAACUCCCUCGUUUCUGAUCCCAAAAUGGCAUUGAGACGGGGAUUAUCCGGUGCGGCCUUGCAGAGGAACAGACCCAGCCGAUCUCGAUUGCCUCUGGCCAUCGUCAUCUCCCUUUCGUUACUCGCACCGUUGAUUUUCUUCGUCGGGCGCGGCAUCUACACUAUAGAUCAUGCUGAUGUGACAAGUAGCUCUAGUAAACAGGAUAUAGAUUGGAGAGAAAGGCUUGCACUGCAACAUUUUAAAUCCCUCCUUUCCAAAGAGGUCAUUGAUGUUAUCACAGCGACGACAGAUGAUCUGGGGCCUUUUAGUCUUGAUUAUUUCAGAAAAAGCAAUUUGUCUGCAUCGUGGAAAGUUGUUGGCCUUGGGACUUCAGUUGAGAAUAAUGCUUCUUCUUUAGAGCCCAACCAAAUGGGUCCAGCUGUCAAACAAGAACGACCUGGAGGCAAACAGGAUAAAUAUUCAGGGGGUGAUCACUCUCAGUUCAUUGAUUCACCUGCAAAACUUGUCCGGAGGCAAUUAAGGGAGAAAAGACGUGAUAAACGUGCUGUUGACUUGGUGCGGCAAGAUGAUGAAGCAACAGUAAAACUUGAAAAUGCAGCCAUUGAGCGUUCCAAAUCAGUAGACUCUGCAGUUUUGGGGAAAUACAGUAUAUGGAGGAAAGAGAAUGACAAUGAAAACACUGAUUCAACCGUACGCUUAAUGCGGGAUCAGAUGAUUAUGGCCAGAGUAUAUGCAACCAUUGCGAAAAUGAAGAACAAGCUUGACUUGCAGCAAGAGUUACUGGCACGGCUCAAAGAAAGUCAACGUUCUUUAGGAGAGGCAAGUGCUGAUUCUGAUUUACACCACAGUGCACCUGAGAAAAUCAAAGCUAUGGGUCAAGUUCUGUCAAAAGCAAAAGAGCAGUUAUAUGACUGCAAGCUGGUCACUGGGAAGCUGAGAGCAAUGCUUCAAUCAGCAGAUGAACAAGUCAGGAGCUUAAAAAAGCAGAGCACAUUCCUGAGUCAAUUAGCAGCCAAGACAAUUCCUAAUGGAAUCCACUGCUUGUCUAUGCGCUUGACCAUUGAGUACUAUCUUCUUCCUCCAGAGAAAAGAAGGUUUCCUAGAAGUGAGAAUUUGGAAAAUCCAAAUCUUUACCAUUAUGCUCUCUUCUCUGAUAAUGUAUUGGCUGCUUCAGUUGUUGUCAACUCAACCAUCUUGAAUGCCAAGGAACCAGAAAAACAUGUAUUCCAUCUGGUUACUGAUAAGCUGAAUUUUGGAGCCAUGAAUAUGUGGUUUCUGUUGAACCCCCCAGGAAAAGCAACCAUCCAUGUGGAAAAUGUUGAUGAAUUUAAGUGGCUUAAUUCAUCCUACUGCCCAGUUCUGAGGCAGCUCGAGUCUGCUGCUAUGAAAGCAUUCUAUUUCAAUCAGGGGCAUCCCAGUACUCUGUCAUCAGGCUCUUCUAAUCUAAAGUACAGGAAUCCAAAGUAUCUCUCAAUGCUUAACCACCUGAGGUUUUAUCUCCCUGAGGUUUAUCCCAAGUUGGAUAAGAUUCUGUUUCUUGAUGAUGACAUUGUUGUACAGAAAGACUUGACUGGAUUAUGGUCGGUGAAUCUCCAUGGGAAGGUGAAUGGUGCAGUAGAGACCUGUGGUGAGAGUUUUCACCGUUUUGAUAAAUAUUUGAACUUUUCUAAUCCUCAUAUUGCAAGAAACUUUGAUCCAAAUGCUUGUGGGUGGGCAUAUGGAAUGAACAUUUUUGAUCUCAAGGAGUGGACAAGAAGGGAUAUUACUGGCAUAUAUCAUAAGUGGCAGAACAUGAAUGAAGAUAGGACGCUAUGGAAGCUUGGAACAUUGCCCCCUGGGCUGAUUACAUUCUAUAGGCUGACCCAUCCAAUUGAGAAAUCUUGGCAUGUGCUGGGCUUGGGAUACAAUCCAAGCAUUGAUAAGUCGGAUAUCGAGAAUGCUGCAGUUAUACAUUACAAUGGAAACAUGAAACCAUGGCUGGAGUUGGCAAUGACAAAGUACCGGUCUUACUGGACAAAGUACAUUAAAUAUGAUCAUCCCUACCUUCGCAGCUGCAACCUAAGUGAAUGAAUGGGAACACAAAAGAUCAGCUAAGGGACAGUGGGAUGCACCUUCUUUGCUCCAACCUAAGUGAAUGAUUGGGAAUACUGAGAAGCAGCAAAGGUCCCAAACCAAAUGGUUGCCAUGUCUUUCAUGUGGGGCAUCUACAGAACACAACUGUUCACACACAUUGUUGAAUCAUGUUAGAACUCAACUUAGGAGUACAAGAUUCGGGAGGGAUUCUCUACAUGGCCCUUACCUCUUUUGUUCAACAACAAAUCAAGACAGAUACCUUUUCAAAAGUGGGAUUGAUCCAUCUCCACAAAGCUUUGUUGGGCACAUGCCAGAAUCCCACUGCCUAAUGGAUGCUCAAACUCGAAUUUUGACAGAAUUCUUUCUUGGAACCUUGAGAAAAUUUAUUUUUUCUUUCACUGACUGUGGAAUGUCCUCGAUAAAUAUAUAGAAAUGUCUUGUAAGUGAUCAUGUAUCAUCCAUGAUGACUAAGAUACUAUAAUGUGCCUUUCCUUGCUA